ACGCCACUCACAUCCGACGUGUGUGGUUGCUCAGUAGGGAAAUGCUUACAGCUGCCUCUAGAAGCAAGUCCGCUCGCUGCAUGGAGAGGGAAACAUGAGCAUGCAGCAGGACUAGCUGUCACCUCCCGCCCGCCUGCCCAGAGAGGGCCAGAGCGUCAGGGAGGCAAGAUGAUCCACCAACGGUGCCAUCCUACACUUGGAUUCAGUAAGCUGUGAGGUCCGUAAUGUCAGACACUGGCAAACAUCACAUGUUCUUCAAGUAGAGUUAUGAAAACGAAGAAACUGGUCAGAAGAGUAAAACGCCGGAAUUGUCCUUUCCAACAUCCAGAGCUGCAUCAUUCCUUGGGGCAAAAUGUGGACAAGGCACUGUUUCUAAAUCCCUGAAGUGGUUGAGCACUGUGUCUGAGGCCAGAAGCUUUCGUGGGUCACUAGAAAAGAGCCUAGUGAGGGGGAGGAACUGGACUGGAACGUGGAAAGCUGGAAUCGGGUCUGACCUGCCCUGCCGCCUUGGCAAAUCACUCCUACAGGCCUUCAACUGAUUGGAUGAGGCCCACCAACAUUAUGAAGGGCAAUCUGCUUUACUCAAAGUCCAUUGGUUUAAAUGUAAGUCUCCUCCCAAAAAACCCUCGCAGAAACAUCCAAAAUAAUGUCUGACCAAAUACGUGGGCAUUGCAGCCCAGUCACGUUGACAUAUGAAAUUACCCAUCAUGGGGAUGAAAACUGGUGAGUCACUGGCAUAUGAAUAGCUGGCAUGACUGUGGACUCUGGGGAGAGAGAAGAGAAGGAGAAGGCAGGGCCUAAGGAACAUC
rnacentral:sRNA from 1 species